GUCACCUGUCUCCGGGCGAAAGCUCAUCCCUCUGAAGGGAGGGCUGGGCAAGAACGGCCGUUUCCCCUACCCCCUUUCUGCCCCGUCGAGUGACUGACAGGCUGCCCUCCAAGCCCUACCCGCGGCUCCUCUCUGCGCACGCGCGAGAUCCCCUCACUGGCUGCUCGGAUGGCUCUCCCUCUGACGCAUGCGCUCCUCUUCCCCCCACAGAGCGGUCUUGGGGAGAGGGGUUCUGUGGCGCCUGCGCAGUUGAGAAGGCGGCCAGAACGUCUCGCCUCAGGAAGGCGGUUUUAGUGGCCUUCUGUGGCCUUAGAGGAGUUGACCCCAUAUUGACCCCAACAGAGCAUGGGAUUUUCUGGAUCAAGGCUUGAGAUCUCUACGCAAGGACCUCCAGCUGGAGAUAUCUGGGAACAACGUCUUUCCAGGUGAAUAAGAGGACAAAUGGAAUUCUGUGGAGCCAGUCGUUCUUUCAGUGGGGAAAAAAAGUAUGAAGGACACAAAAAUUGACACACUUAAAAGGUGGAAAAGGGAAGAAGGGAAGCCAGAAAACAAGAGGGAAAAAGAAAUCUCCAGCUUCUCCU